AUUCGGAAACGGAUGCUAAUACCGCAUACGCACUACGGUGGAAAGUGGGGGAUCUUCGGACCUCACGCUAUUGGAUGAGCCCAAGUCGGAUUAGCUUGUAGGUAGGGUAAUGGCCUACCUAGGCGACGAUCCGUAGCUGGUCUGAGAGGACGAUCAGCCACACUGGGACUGAGACACGGCCCAGACUCCUACGGGAGGCAGCAGUGGGGAAUAUUGGACAAUGGGCGCAAGCCUGAUCCAGCAAUGCCGCGUGUGUGAAGAAGGCCUGCGGGUUGUAAAGCACUUUCAGUAGAGAAGAAAAGCCUAGGGUUAAUACCCCUGAGUCUUGACGUAACCUACAGAAGAAGCACCGGCUAACUCCGUG
rnacentral:rRNA from 1 species